rnacentral:lncRNA from 1 species
AACAGAUUAGUUAAAAACUCAUUUGAAACGGUGGCAAGUUGCAUCAAGUUCCGACUCCUCCCCUGAUCUUAGUCUGCAUGGAUUCAGCGCGUUUUUCAAUCCACAGUGGCGCCGAGCAGAGCGAACAUCAGAGAGUACAAGAUGGAUAUACAACAUUUUUUUGUUGUGCGGGAGUAGGUCUGCAAAUGAGCAACAGUCAGGUGAGAAUAGAACAGACAGCCUCACACACACACACAAUACCACUGUGUUCCCAAGAUUCAUUGCAGUCAUUGAACCCUUAUGUUGUUUUAAUAUUCUGCCGAUUUCCACGUACAUUUCAUAAGAAAAACCAGUGGUAUCAUCAAAGGAUAAACAUGAAUGUCCUAAUACUGAAUCAGUUAGUCUUUAUUGUAAAAAAAAAAAAAAAUCUACAUUCCCAAUUCAAAAUUUUCCAGUGACUGGUCACAUCUAAAAAAACUGUAUUAGUUUUUUUUACAGUGUUGUAUAUGGCUCAGUCAGUACUCCUACUCCCAUAUAUGAAAUACAGGAAAUACAAUGGAAUAGUGGAUUGCAAUAAGGUUAGUAGUAUACAACCCUACCCUAAUAGUCAAAUAAUAUUUUUUAAUCAUACCCUUAUUGGGGGCUGAGCCCCCCUAAAAUGAAAAUCUUAGAAUCGCCCCUGGUCCGCAACCUAAAUAAAAGAGGAUACUUGACGGGCAGAGGUCAGGAACCGGAGUCCAGAAACAGGGUAUCAAAGAGUCACAACAGUUCUCCGUCCUGCGUCCGGUGCUAACCACUCGCAGAUGGCAGGUGAGUGAAGGUCCACUGGAUGGAGGUGAACUGGGCAGAGAACAAAGAGAGUGAUCGGCUCUUACUCACGUAACUACAGGACAGGACAAAACAAGACAAGACAAGACAAGGCUAGGGUAUACUCCAGAGGAAAAAGCUGAAGAGGUCGUAACUGAAAAACAGAGCGUAUACUCAACGUUCAACAAUAAUCCGACAAAAGACAGAGCAAACAGUGACUAGAAGUAGCCGAGGGAAUUAGAGAGAGAAAAGGAUCAGGUGAGAGAUAAUCAGUGUAAGUGUUGAUUCUAAAGGGAAACAGCUGCGAGAGAGGAGGAGAAACAUGAAUGGGAAUGAUUAGUGUGUGUGCAGCGUGAGCGCUGAGAUAAUAGUAAUCAGCUGUAUGAGUGUGCGUGUGUGUGAAUGAAGGUAAGCAAAACAGGAGGAAGGGACCGGUUAUGACAGCGUUAACGCAAUAAAAACACGUGUGUGAAUGAAGGUAAGCAAAACAGGAGGAAGGGACCGGUUAUGACAGCGUUAACGCAAUAAAAACAUGUUAACUUGCAAAAUAGAAAAACCAACAUGACAAAGAAAAUUAUGUUAUUUCUAAAAAAAAUAAAAAUAAAAAAUAAAUGAAAUUGUUUCAACUAUAUUGUCUUGAAAAUCUAGAAAAAUGAUUUUGACAGCUUCCUUGGCGAUUUAAGGUAUUCAAGAACUUAAGCAUUGUUUACCCAGCUAAGAAAUUAAUGUUCAAAGAAUGUUUUGGUAACA